rnacentral:rRNA from 1 species
AGUGAACGCUGGCGGUAGGCCUAACACAUGCAAGUCGAACGGCAGCACAGUAAGAGCUUGCUCUUACGGGUGGCGAGUGGCGGACGGGUGAGGAAUACAUCGGAAUCUACUUUUUCGUGGGGGAUAACGUAGGGAAACUUACGCUAAUACCGCAUACGACCUACGGGUGAAAGCAGGGGAUCUUCGGACCUUGCGCGAUUGAAUGAGCCGAUGUCGGAUUAGCUAGUUGGCGGGGUAAAGGCCCACCAAGGCGACGAUCCGUAGCUGGUCUGAGAGGAUGAUCAGACACACUGGAAGUGAGACGCGGUCCAGACUCCUACGGGAGGCAGCAGUGGGGAAUAUUGGACAAUGGGCGCAAGCCUGAUCCAGCCAUACCGCGUGGGUGAAGAAGGCCUUCGGGUUGUAAAGCCCUUUUGUUGGGAAAGAAAAGCAGCAGGUUAAUACCCCGCUGUUCUGACGGUACCCAAAGAAUAAGCACCGGCUAACUUCGUG